rnacentral:rRNA from 1 species
UUAGAGUUUGAUCCUGGCUCAGGAUGAACGCUGGCGGCGUGCUUAACACAUGCAAGUCGACGAAGCAACUAAGACGGAAGCCUUCGGGUGGAAGAUUUAGUUGACUGAGUGGCGGACGGGGAGUAACGCGUGGGUAACCUGCCUCACACAGGGGGAUAACAGUUAGAAAUGACUGCUAAUCCGCAUAAGCGCACAGUAUCGCAUGGUACAGUGUGAAAAACUCCGGUGGUGUGAGAUGGACCGCGUCUGAUUAGCUAGUUGGUAAGGUAACGGCUUACCAAGGCGACGAUCAGUAGCCGACUGAGAGGGUGACCGGCCACAUUGGGACUGAGACACGGCCCAAACUCCUACGGGAGGCAGAGUGGGGAAUAUUGCACAAUGGGCGAAAGCCUGAUGCAGCGACGCCGCGUGAGUGAAGAAUAUUUCGGUAUGUAAAGCUCUAUCAGCAGGGAAGAUAAUGACAGUACCUGACUAAGAAGCCCGGCUAACUACGUGCCAGCAGCCGCGGUAAUACGUAGGGGGCAAGCGUUAUCCGGAUUUCUGGGUGUAAAGGGAGCGUAGGUGGCAUGGCAAGUCAGAUGUGAAAGCCCGGGGCUUAACUCGGGACUGCAUUUGAAACUGCCAAGCUAGAGUACAGGAGAGGCAAGUGGAAUUCCUAGUUAGCGGUGAAAUGCGUAGAUAUUAGGAGGAACACCAGUGGCGAAGGCGGCUUGCUGGACUUUACUGACACUGAGGCUCGAAAGCGUGGGGAGCAAACAGGAUUAGAUACCCUGGUAGUCCCGCCGUAACGAUGAAUACUAGGUGUCGGGGAGCGAAGCUCUUCGGUGCCGCAGCAAACGCU